AUCGAAUCCCUCCCCCAAAGCUCUGAAUCUUGCUGAAACAGGGGCAGAAGGAGAGUAACAGCCAGAAGGGAUGGAGAAUAGCAGGAGAACAAGGUCCUCUGGAUCAUUUGAGCAGCGCAAUCCCUGAAGUCAUAUCCUGACCCUGGAUCACUUGUUAUCAAGUUUUGGAUUUCCUGAGAAGACUUUUGCAGGAAGCUUUUGACUAGGACACAGAAAACAAAGAGAACUAGAAACUUGCCUUCCUGCACAACUAUAAUCAAAGAAGUCCCUGUGGAUUGUUUACAUAGUGACCUAUCUAUGCUCUAACUCAUGUCUUAGAAGACACAGUGUUACAAACCCUGUAAUCAAGGGCUGGAAGUGACAAGUUCGUUCCCUUGUCUUAUCAAAGAAGAUGCAUAGCAUGUAGGAGUAUGACCCGAGAGCUCCCAAGAAAGCCCAUUGAACUGCCAUUGGAAUAAUUAGAUUUUCAAAAUAUUUUAUUGAACAUAUCAUCUGGAUAAUGGUCGCAUGAUUAAAAAGAAUAAGCAUUUGAAAAUGGACAGAGAAAAUCAGGGGGGUAGCUUCCGGCUUUUCUUAGAAAAACAAGGUCUGAGGAGCAGUCGGAUAAGCCAUGAGAGGUUAGAGGAGCAAGGGAUAAGUCACUGUGAAAUCCAAACAGACACUGAAGUCGGAGGCUGGCUCCUAGCAAUUCUUCCUUGGAGGAAACCACAUCGUCAUUGAUACAGGGAUCAUGGGAAUAUGAUCUGAAGUCACCCACUUACGACACCUCAGGGCUAUGGUAGUAAAGAAAUCACUUGUCAACAUAGAUAGCAUGGGGAUGUGAACUAAACCGAGAGGAAAAUGGAGAAAUGCACAGAGAUAAAAGUCUAGUUUUAUAUAGGU